rnacentral:lncRNA from 1 species
UUUUUAAUAGGAUGUACAACUUGUAUAGCACAAGUGCAAGGUACAACUCGACGAAGCACGGGCAGAUUCUUUUAAACACGGAUUUGGCUUAUUUCUUUCAUUUGGCUUGAAUUAUUUUGGAGAGCAUUUCAAGGGGGAUUUCAUCAAGCAUCAAAGGUGAGUUGUUUCUACUUAUUUCCAAGUUAAAUACAUGGAUUAGAGCUGAAAACUCAAGUAAAUUAUGGACAAAAAUGGUGGUUUAGGGCUUGAAACUUAAGAGAAUUAAAUGGUGAUUUGAGGGAUCAAAUGAACUCCGAUUUUUGUGAAUUUGGUAUGUAUAGACUCGUGGCGAGAUAAGGGUCGUAUUGAUGUAAAAAUUUCCAAAUUUUGAGACGUGAGCCCGGGGCUCGGGGUUUUGCUAAUUUCGGGAUUUUCGACAUUUUUCGAGUCUUUUCGAUUGGGUUAUAUUCCCUUAGCCUAUUGUAAUGUAUUUGUUGUGGUUUUGACUAGAUUCGACGCGUGAAGAGGUCGAUUCAAGAGGAAAGGGCAUUGAGGACUAGUCUACGGCCGGUUAGAGGUGAGUAAUAGAUGUAAAUGCUGUUCUAAGGGUUUGAAACCCCGGACUUUCACAUCGUAACGCUAUAUUGAGGCAUGACACGCACUCCAUGGCGGGUGCAGGGUCGGAUAC